rnacentral:rRNA from 1 species
GAUGAACGCUGGCGGCGUGCCUAAUACAUGCAAGUCGAGCGAACGGACGAGAAGCUUGCUUCUCUGAUGUUAGCGGCGGACGGGUGAGUAACACGUGGAUAACCUACCUAUAGGACUGGGAUAACUUCGGGAAACCGUAGCUAAUACCGGAUAAUAUUUUGAACCGCAUGGUUCAAAAGUGAAAGACGGUCUUGCUGUCACUUAUAGAUGGAUCCGCGCUGCAUUAGCUAGUUGGUAAGGUAACGGCUUACCAAGGCAACGAUGCAUAGCCGACCUGAGAGGGUGAUCGGCCACACUGGAACUGAGACACGGUCCAGACUCCUACGGGAGGCAGCAGUAGGGAAUCUUCCGCAAUGGGCGAAAGCCUGACGGAGCAACGCCGCGUGAGUGAUGAAGGUCUUCGGAUCGUAAAACUCUGUUAUUAGGGAAGAACAUAUGUGUAAGUAACUGUGCACAUCUUGACGGUACCUAAUCAGAAAGCCACGGCUAACUACGUG